CUCAGUCUCUGGCGAAACUGGACUUUCAAGUCUGUGCAGGUGAAGGUGUGUGCGAGCGCCCGAGAUGGCAGAACAAGAGGUACAGCACAACAUCUGCAAUACCAUGGUGCCUCUCAAGUACAAAUGAAAGAAAUCCUUGCUGGAGACCACACAGAUUUGAAAACAUCAAGACAUUGUAUCUUAAGUUAUCAAAAGCUGGGAAAGAAAUUGAAAAUAAAUCUCCAGUGGCAUUACAAUUGAGAAGAGGAACCUGAGUAAAUUCAGUCCAAAGAGCCCUAGGGGAAAGAAGAAGAAGAAGAAAAGAGCGACCUUUCAUUCAGCACAAUUGAAAUUAGCAAAGAGGGCUUUAUUUACACUGGACAUUAUCAUCCUAAUUAAAAAGGUUCUGAACAAGCUACAACAGCUCCCUGCCCUCUUCUUGAUUCCAGCCCUGUCCAAGACCUUGCUAAAAGUGUGGCCACUGAGGAAGCCAUGAGCCACCUCCUCCAACGGAUCUCUUGUGAAGACAUUUCGUUUUGGUGUUCCUCCCUCUCAUUUUCAUCUUUGACCCAUUCAGGCUGACAAAUUUCAAUUGGAGAAAUCCCAGUUUCAUAGACCUCGGAUCCUAAAGACCACAUCACAAAAUACUGCUUUUGUUAUGGGGGGAGAGGGAGGGGAAGAUGAAAGAAAUUAAGAAGAAAACCUGAGUGCUUCAGAUGGCUGUUUGUUGAUUUUGUGCCCAUGGGCAGGAGGGGCUCAGGCUCUAAGGA